rnacentral:rRNA from 1 species
CUACGGGCCGCUGCAGUGAGGAAUAUUGCACAAUGGGGGGAACCCUGAUGCAGCAACGCCGCGUGGAGGAUGACGCAUUUCGGUGUGUAAACUCCUUUUAUAUGUCAAGAAAAUGACGGUAGCAUAUGGAUAAGCACCGGCUAACUCCGUGCCAGCAGCCGCGGUAGUACGGAGGGUGCAAGCGUUACUCGGAAUCACUGGGCGUAAAGGACGCGUAGGCGGGUUGGAAAGUCAGGUGGGAAAUCCUACAGCUUAACUGUAGAACUGCACUUGAAACUUCUAAUCUAGAGUAUGGGAGGGGGAGAUGGAAUUAGUGGUGUAGGGGUAAAAUCCGUAGAUAUCACUAGGAAUACCUAAAGCGAAGGCGAUCUCCUGGAACAUUACUGACGCUAAGGCGUGAAAGCGUGGGGAGCAAACAGGAUUAGAUACCCGAGUAGUC